rnacentral:lncRNA from 1 species
AUGCGGAGGGAGAAGAAAUUCAUUAAAAAUAAAUCGUGUGCUACAGCCUCCAGAAACACUCAAGUCUUGCAGAAGGCUGGCAGCAAAGUUAGAAUGAGAACAGCCCACCAUGGCCCAGAGGCAGCACCAGGGACCCCGAACCCCUCCUGGGCACAGGAAGGAGCAGGGACAGUGUGUCACCAGCGGUGCUUUCAGUGCCAUUUAACGCGACUUGUGCUUCCCAGGCCACCAAAGGCCCACCGGCGGGAUCAGGACAAGCCAGCCACCCCGGUCACCCCUGCUCUGCCCGGCCCCAGCGCUCCGGCCUGCCCGGUCCCGCUCUGUCCCCUCAGUCCCCCGGUCCCGUUCUGUCCCGCUCUGUCCCCUCAGCCCCGCUCUGUCCCCUCGGUCCCGCUCUGUCCCCCCGGUCCCGCUCUGUCCCCCCGGUCCCGUUCUGUCCCCUCGGUCCCGUUCUGUCCCCUCAGUCCCGUUCUGUCCCGCUCUGUCCCCUCAGCCCCGCUCUGUCCCCUCGGUCCCGCUCUGUCCCCUCAGUCCCGCUCUGUCCCCCCGGUCCCGUUCUGUCCCCCCGGUCCCGUUCUGUCCCCUCAGCCCCGCUCUGUCCCCUCAGUCCCGCUCUGUCCCGUUCUGUCCCCUCGGUCCCGUUCUGUCCCCUCAGUCCCGCUCUGUCCCCCCGGUCCCGUUCUGUCCCCUCAGUCCCGUUCUGUCCCAUCGGUCCCGCUCUGUCCCCUCAGUCCCGUUCUGUCCCCUCGGUCCCGUUCUGUCCCCUCAGCCCCGCUCUGUCCCCUCAGUCCCGCUCUGUCCCGUUCUGUCCCCUCAGCCCCGUUCUGUCCCCUCAGCCCCGCUCUGUCCCGUUCUGUCCCCCCGGUCCCGCUCUGUCCCGCUCUGUCCCCUCAGCCCCGCUCUGUCCCGUUCUGUCCCCCCGGUCCCGCUCUGUCCCGCUCUGUCCCCUCAGCCCCGCUCUGUCCCGUUCUGUCCCCUCAGCCCCGCUCCGUCCCGCGGCCCCGGGCCCGGCUCGGCCGGGACUUGUUCCCGUCCCGACUUCUCGCGAGAGAACGCGCGGUGGCGUCACGCGCCGCGGAGGCCGCCCUCGCGCGCGCGCUCUCGCGCUAUCUCUCACGCCGCCGCCGUAUCCUUCCGCGCGCUCCCCCUCCCCCUUCUGGAGAGUUCUGCACGGCGGCCGGCACGACAAAUAGUCCCCGCGGCUCCCCGCCCUCUCCUCCCUCUCCCGCUCCUCCUCCUCCUCCCGCCGCUCCGGUCCUGGCCUCUCCCUUCCCUCCCCGCCACGGCGGCGUCUCCGCCCCGGGAACCGGAGCGGUGCCCGGGGGCAGCGGCGGCGGCGGGGCGGAGUGA